GUCACACUGACAGGCGGCCAACAAGUCUUGUGGGCCUACGCUGGCAAUCCUGCAGUGGGUGCGGUGCCCUCCCACUCAGGCCCCAAGGAGGCUGCUAGAUCGCCGCGCCGCAGCCAAGAUGGCCCUCGCCGAGGUAAACAUCCCGCCGUUCCCUCUGCCCCUGCCACUCUCCACGACCACACGCCCCAUCUCCCGCUCCUCAUGGGACGACACGCUCGCCCAUAGUCUGCGCAUCACCUCCAUGGGCCAGCAGCACCGCACCAGGUCCUCCCCACAGGCGUGGGUGAGGAAAACGUCCCGCGUCGUAGACGUGGCCCUGACGCGCCUCCGCCUGGGCCACAGGGCCACACAUGACUCAUCGCUCACCUCCACUGCCUGGCCCUGCUGACCCCCAAUGCCGGUGCGGGACCUUCGAGGAGACCAUUGAGGGGCACCUCAUGCUGCACUGCCCCCGCUUCCACUCCUACCGAGUGCUGCCACGACACCAACUCUGCUCCCUGGACGUGACCAUCUCCAACCUGCCCAAUAUCAACUUGUCCAACAAGCCAGUCCUCUGAAGUAGUGAGGACACAAAGUUCCUACACUGAAGCAAAGCAAGAUGUUUCAACCCAUGCUAGUCAUGGCAAAGGAUCUACUUGAGAAUUCUGCAAUGUCUUCAUCACCAGUUCGUAAAGUGGAAUGGCAGAACAGCUUUGUAUACUACCUCAUUGACAAGAUAAGAGAACACCCUGUGUUGUGGGACCGCACACAUGAACACUUCGCCAAAAAGACUUUGAAAAGAAGUGAAUGGUCCAAAAUUGCUGCUGCUCUGCAGAAGGAAUAUCCUGCACUAAAAGAUGUUGGCUUGACUGAGGAGCUUUGACAAACAUAUGUGAGAUCUACAAUCAUUGCUGAGUAUAAUGGUACCAACCAAAACGACUGAUCUUGCACAUGAGAUGAGUUAGAGCAAAAAAUACAGAGAUGAUGUGCAGCAAAAGUUUGCCAAACUAAAGACAACAUUUCAGAGAGAGGUAAAGAAAAUCCACUGUACCAAGAGUGGAUCUGGUGAAUAUUAUGAGCCAAAAUGGAAAUUCUUCAACUCCCUUUCAUUUAUGCUUCCCCGUGAGUUGCAGUACCUAACUACAUCAUCUUAUUCAUCACCACUAUCCUGUCAGAUUGUUAAAACUGAACAGUUCUUCGAUGAAGAAGUGACUGAUGAGGGCAUAAAUGACCAUCCAAGUUGGACCGACUUAAUUGAAGAGUCAUCAUCAACCUCUUUAACAACAAGUCCUCGUCCAGCAACACCAUCCUCUAGUUCUGGCAAGACUCCUCCAUCACAUACAAGUAAAAAAAGGAAGAGGACACCAGCAGAUACAUCAGAAGCUACACAUGCGCUAGUGGCACAAACUAUGUUAAGAGUUCAUAAUGUUUUAGCUGCUCAUGAACGGCCCAGAGAUGAACUGGCUGAGAAGUCAGCAGAGUUAGUAAGGAGUUUUGCAUCAUUUUUAUCAGAAUCAGCUAAGCCCAAAUUUGCUGCUGAACUUCUGAAAUUCAUCCAGAAUUUCAAAGAGGAUACACAAUAAUGUAUACUGUAUAAUGCAUAAAGGUUAAGUCUGGUACUUUCAUUGUAUUAUAUAGUCCAUUGACUCUAACUUGAGCCCUGUGGCUUGGCCCGGGGAAACCCCCAUUGUUUACAGAUCUAGUGAUGACCUGCGCAUGGCGAUCUGUCUCACUGUUAGUCUGUACGUUAUCUAUUUAUGGAAUAUAUAUACAUUCAUAAUACGACUGCAUGGUGUUAUGAGUGGCUUGGGAUUAGAGGGAAAGACAACGACUCAGUAAACCUUCCAUAUCACUUGGCAACGUGGCUCAUGCGACGUUGCUGUCUGACGGACCUUGGCAACAGGCGCCAGGCCACACCAUUCAGCGAUAUGCCACAAUGGACAACUCAAGUAGAUCUCACUCUCGCGCCCUGCACAGCCAUGCAAAAGAGAGGUAGCGACCCUCUCUGAGGAGAGUAAUUGAGUGAUGUGGCACCAGUGCAGUCUCGUGGGGAAUCCCUGAGUUGCACCCAAGGGAUCAAGUUAAAAUCGAUAGACUAUAGUAAGGUAAUUCCUAUUUAUAUUGUGUUAUGUUAUUUUACUAUAUCAAUAUGUGCAACCUGGGGAAACCUGGGGAAGGUAAACUGUGGUAACCCGGAUGUCACACUGGCCCUGUGUCCUGGGGUAAUGGGCUCCCUCCCACCACAGGCUCAAGGGCCAAUGUCACGGAGAUGAGCACCGAAGCCACGCGCUGCUACAGCAUAUGCCCCCAACUUUACCUUUAUAUGUACAACAUACGCCUUCAUGGUCCAGUGGUCAGUGUGCCUGGUUGCCACUCUGCAGGCCCAGGUUCGAAUUCCGGCUCAGGCAGUCAGCGUGCAGCUCACCCAGCUGUUCAUCCUCCCUUUCGGUCUGGUUCAUAAAUGGGUACCUGAGGGAACCUGGGGAAGAAGGUAAAUCUCUGAUUUCACAUUGGCCCAUGUCCCGGGGUAAUUGGCUGUUACCUACCACAGGCUCAAAGGCCCAACGGAUCGGAAAUGGGCACCGCAGCCACGCACAGCUAUAGCGAUGCACCCACCUUUACUUUAACUUUGAUAUGUGCAACACAAAAGUACAAAAUACUUCUAAGUGCAAACAUUAUAGUUCUUAGUAUUUAGCAAUUCAGUCUCUACAUAGUACACUGAACAUGUAAAUUAUGUGCAAUGCAAAUAAAGUGUAGUAUGAUUUAAAAUUCAGUAAUAAAUCUAUUACACUCAUCACCAAUAUAGAGUAUCUACUGUGAGUUGAGAUAAAAAUGUAAUCAUAAUGUAGUUUGUGGGUUCAUAAAAUAUUAUUCCUACAUUCAAACACUGCAAGCUAUGCAGGCCUACAAUAUUCAAUAUUCUGUGCUAGCUGUUCACAUAGCCACAUCAAGAUGACAUAGUCCACAAAACCUGUAGUGCAUAAAAACACCUAUUGUGAUCAUAGGAACAUAAUUUAGCAAUAUUUAAAGUACAUAUACAUGAAACCACCCACUAAUUCUGUAAUGUAGCCUACAUCAUCUAUACAAUGCUGAUAAAUGCAGAAAAAAAAAUGCUUAUUCUGUAUGGUACAAUACUGUAAUUUCCAUAAUUAUGCAAAAAUACAAUCACACCUAAGUGUCUAAAGGGUGAACAGAGAAGUGAAUCUAAUGUAGCAGGGUCAUUCCCAUUCCAUCUUGCCAGGGAACUUGCCCUUCAUAUAUAAAAUGUUCUGCAAGGGUUUUCCUCGCAUGUUUAGCAGCAUUUGCCACAUUCCUUAGCAUGCAUUUUAAGCCUUGGAUGACACCAGCCAGUGCCUGUCGCCAUUCCCCAACAUGAACAGAAUCACACUGAGGAUUCUCUUGGUCAAGCAGUUCAAUCAAUGCAUAAUGUCUGAGAGAAUGAGUGCAGUGGUAACUGUGUACUGAGGAUGUGGCUAUGAUGAUAUAUACGUCAUUCUGGGGUCAUGUUAAAAUGGGUUGUUUGAAGGUCCGAAACUUUGCUGUCAGGAUGCCAAAUGCAUUUACAGAGGUCCAUCUUGCCCUCAAGAGGCGAGUCAAAUAUUCUCUUUUGAGAUAAAGCUUUUACCGGGUGUGGUUUCAUCAAGUAAGUCUUUAGAGGGAAGGAAGUGAAUGGUAGUGAGCUUGAAUGAGGUGCCACUCAUUUUCAGUCUGUGGCAUCUUUAUUCUUUUAUUCUUAAUUGGGUUUACAGGCCCCAUUCCACCCAAAGGUGCUCCACAGGGUCUCCAGUAUUUUUCAAUAAUAGUAGUAAAUCAUAAAUACAAUAUUACAUAACAGUAAACAAUAUAGAUUUUUAAAGCACACACACACACGGAGAGAUUAAAGGAAAUGGACCUACCAACACUGGAACAAAGAAGAGAAAGGGGAGACCUAAUACAAAUUUAUAAAUUAUUGAGUAAAAUGGAAGAAGUAGAUAAUGAGGAGUUACUACUAAGAGAAGGAAUAAACACCAGGAACUCAAGAGGACACAGUAAAAAAUUGAGGAAGGGAAGAUGCUCGAGAGACAUAAAAAAAUAUAGCUUCCCUCAAAGAAAUACAGUGGUUUGGAACAGACUAAGUGAGGAUGUAGUAUCGGCGAAGAGUGUGCAAAACUUUAAGGAAAAGUUGGACAAACAGAUACGGAAACGGGACCACACGAGCGUAAGCCCAGGCCCUGUAAAACUACAACUAUGUAAACUAGGUAAAUACACACACACACAGCACAGCACAAAAUAUCACAACACAUACAGAGUAGUAAAUGAAUAAUAAUAUUCCCUCCCAGCCAAUGUUACAUAUAUGCAAAAAUAUAAAUAUUAAGUACAAAAGAAUAUAAAUACCUAUGGCUAGAUACAAAUACAAAACAAUAUAAUGUUAUACCCUUUUGACUUAAUACUGCACUUAACAUACUAAAAAUAUAUAUCCUUUUGAUUCAAUACUGCACUUAACCUACUAAAAAUGUAUAUCUUUUCACUUAAUACUACACUUAACAUACUAAAAUAUAUAUGUAUAUGAAUAUAUAUUGAGAUCAUGCAAUAUAUUUGAAUAAUACUGAAUUAGAUUGUACUGACAUUUGUUCACCCAGUAAUAUGUACAACUUGCAUUAAUUUUCUCUCCCACAUACAACUUUUAAGACUAACAUAAAAAUUAACUUCUAUCAAUAUAAUAUGGGGAAGAGGCGCAGAGAUAUAACAGUUGCAACAUGCGUUUGUUUUUGUUCUCUUUGCCAGACACUGUCCUCUUCCAUCACCAACAACAACAACAUCUACAAUCCCCACACUCAUCAGCAGCACCAGCACCUCAGAAGUGGAUCUUCAUGUGUCUGGCAAUGUCUCCCUUUGUCUUGAAAUAUUUGUCACAAACAUCACACUUGAACGAUCUCAGGCCAGAGUGUCGGAAGAUGUGAUUGUUCAACGAAUUCUUCAAUCUAAACCUUUUUCCACACUCUUGGCAUUCAUGUUUUUUUUCACCAGUGUGUGUAAGGAAGUGUUUGUUAAGGGAAUCCUUGAAACGGUAGCUUUUCCCACAAACUUCACAUUCAUAACUUCUGUCAACAGUGUGUGCAUAAGCAUGUGUAUUAAGUUCCCUCUUGGUCUUGAAUUUUUUCCCGCAAACUUCACAGUCAUAGUUAUUUACAAUGGUGUGUGUAAGGGAGUGUGCAUUAAGGUAACUCUUGAGGACAAAUUUUUUUCCACAAAUUACACAUUCAUGAUUUCUUAAACCAGUGUGUAUAAGGGUGUGUAUUUUAAGGGUACUCUUAAGUGGGAAUCUUUUUCCACAAAUUUCACAUUCAUGAUUUUUUUCACCAGUGUGUAUAAGGAAGUGUGUCCUGAGUUGAUCCUUCAGACGGAAGCUUUUUCCACAAACUUCACAUUCAUGAUUUUUUUCACCAGUAUGUACAAGUGUGUGUUUGCUAAGGUGAUACUUCCUGCUAAAUCUUUUCCCACAAACUUCACAUUCAUGAUUUCUUACACCAAUGUGUAAAAGAGUAUGCUUGUUGAGGUCACCUUUGUGCUUGAAUCUUGUUCCACAAAUUUCACAUUCAAGGUUUCUUUCAUCAGUGUGUGUCAGGGUGUGUGAUUUGAGGUGACUCUUUUUACUGAACUUUUUGCCACACUCAGCGCAUUCAUGACUUUUUUCACCAGAGUGUGUGGGUGUAUUUGUUGAGUCUAUUUCCACACUAUUGGUACUCAUGAUUUCUUUCUUAUGUGUAUGCAAAGGUAUAUCAAGUGAACUUACUCUCAAUCUUAUAUCUUCUCACGCAUCUGAUACCUAAACUUUCCCUUUAUUUCAUGGCUGGAGAUGCCAGCAGCAUGGUGGUGGUGCUUCUUCUGAUCACUCCAGAUACUCACCCCAAUAGAAGUUUACCCCUCGUGGAAGUGGUCACUCAGGCUGCUGUCCAGCCUUGCAGCCUCCACUGCAACAAUACUCUAGAUGUGAAGAGUUGGCUGCUCUGGUCUCACCUCAGGGAGGUUGGGGAGGGCAACAAAGUUCCCUGAAUGCCACACUCAGGGACCAAGUGAGCAGGCAAGGUGAGGGAUGCACCAAGGAGUCCUGAAGCCAGAGCCAAAUAGGACAAAGAGAACACUAAAUAAAGCCUCAGACCCGCACAGCAGCAUCACCAGUGGACGAAGUCGUGUACUGUUACCUGGUGCUGUGCUCCAUCUUGGACCCUCACUUCAGAACAAGAACUGGCACUAGUGGGGACUGUCACAACUAAUGAGGAAUGUGCUGUACCCUGCUGCUGUGCACCCUGCUUCAGACCCUCACCUCAGCACCAGCACCAGUGAUGGCCUUGAAACACAGAGUCAAAUGCUGCCUCCUGGCACUGUGUCUCCACCUAAAAUGUUCACUUCGGCACCAACACCAGUGGAGGCCAAUGGGACACAAUAAGUAUUGUGCUGUCUCCAGGUGUUCCCACCUCAGGCAUCCACCUCUGCACCAGCACUAGUGGAGGCCUUUGGGACACAAAGAGUUAUAUUCAGUUUCCAGGCACUGUUCCUGCCUCACACAUUCACUUCAGUACCAGAACCAUUGAAGGCUGUCGGGACACAAAGGGUAGUGUGCUGUAGUCUGGCACUGCUCUCCACCUUGGACUAUCACUUCAGCACGAGCACCACCAUCAGUAGUGGCUGUACCAACACAGUCAAGUGCUGUAGCCUGGCACUGUGCUCCCUGCAGUGUGGCUGAUGCCACUUCCUGGUAUAUGAGAGAUGAGUUAUUAAUGAAGUGCUUUUAUGCCGUCUCUGGCCUAAAUCAUCUGAAGGCUUAUGGUCCUGAUGGAGUUCUUCCUAUGUCUUUAAAAACUGUGCUUCCACACUGAAACCCUGCCUGGCCAAACUCCUCCUCAUCUGCCUAUCAUCAUCCUUCUUUCCUGCUGGGAGAGCAUCUACAUAUAGCCUGUGCCUUAAAGGGUGACUGUUUUAACCCUUCAAACUACUGCAUCACUGCUACGCUUCAGAAAGACUCUCUGCGAUUCCAGUUACGAUUGUCGCAGCGAGAGCAUAGUAGAUUGCAAUUUCACCACUUUUUUCACAUUUUCAGUAUCGCAGUAAUUUGCAGAGGCAAAAUUGCAGAUGUGUGAUCCCAGCAUAGCCUAUUGCUGCUAGGGAUAAGAACCUGUUGCUGCUAUAAUGGUAACUUAUUGUCACUCAAAUAGUGAGGGUGUGACAGGUGCUGACGUGACAUCUCUCUUGAAACUGGUAAAGUGGCAAAUAAAAUUAUAAUGGGACAUUUCAUUGCCACCCAUUCCUUAAAAUAUGGAUUCAUUCUGUAUUGAAGAGUGACAUGUUGCAUUCCAUUUUGAACCAAUACAGAAUGCCAUUCGUUCCAUAUCUGGCUGUCUCAGUGGUCACGCAGAUAUAAAUCAGUGUUUUAAAAUUGUAAUGAGGGCAUUCUUCAGUCAAUCUCAAGACCAGUCUGUAAAAUUAUGUAUUUGUCAAAGGUCGUUCUAAAAUACCUGUAAAAUACAUGACAUAACGCCCCUCUCCCCUUCCUCCUACCUCCACCACCAGCGGGCAAUGGCUGUCAGUCAAGACAGGCUAGAGAAAAUUUUGGGGUUGCCACCGUAUCACCAUAUCAAUAUGAAUUUGUUCUGUGUUGGAGAGUGAAAUGUUGUGUUCCUUAUUUUCUGAGCUUUUGUUCAGUUGAAGGGAAAUAAGUGCAAGUAUGUGACUCUGUGGUCCAGAUGCAGCCAGAUAAAACAUUAAAACUUAAAAUAUUCCAUACAUUUAUAUGUAGGGUCGAAUACUGCAUAUAAAAACUGAGCAAACUCGAAAACUUAAAAUAGUCUAUAGUACAUUAAUAUGUACGGUCGAAUACUGUGAAAAAUUUUUUAAAACUCGAAAACUUAAAAUGUUCUAUACACGUAUGUCACACUUGUCAUAUUUAGGGUCUGAUACAGUAACCAACAGCCCUCAAGGUUUGUUGUACACGCUUUUUUCCAUCUCUUCUAGCUAUGCAGAUGUUUUGUAAACCAUUUAACACGUUUUUUGGUGGUUGACCACACUCUUCUUGAAGUGAGGCAAAGGACACUAACGAACAGUCCUUCCUUAAAGCAUCAAUGAAUGUCCACAGAGAUGGAUGCUUGUUGCCAACUAAUUCACGUCUACCUGGAUGUAUUGUUACAGGUCCUGAUGUUUCUUGAAUGGCUUUGGCAAGUAUGCAGUUUGUACUCUUUUUUCAUGUUUUUGCUCUUUCAUGAAUACCGAAUCGCACCUUCUCGGCUUCGAAAUUGAGCUACCAAGAAAUAGAACAAUUGAAAACUCGUUAACUACAUGGCUGUGGGGCAGAGUUACUUUCACAUCAUCCAGACUUAACCCAGUAGCAGCGAGGAUCAUGUUUCUUAAUGGUCCCUCCAAGCAAGAAAAAUGAGAAAAAGUCAUCCCUCACACAAACCAUUUCAUAUAUAUCAAAGCAUUUGUGAUCAGAUUAUGUAUCAUCUAUUUUUGGGGGGUUAUAUGAUGGCACAAAUUUGGCCUGUCACUGCUACAUGGUAAAGCCACAAAUUUGGCCCGUCACUUCUACACGGUAAAGCCACAAAUUUGGCCCGUCACUGCUACACGGUAAAGCCACAAAUUUGGCCCAUCGCUGCUACCAGGUUAAGCUUGUUGUUAAUGCAGCCUUACAUGGUCUGGUCUUCUGUUGUGUACACUCCCAUUGAAUGUGUGUCUUUUCCGUCUCUUUCUUCAUGUACAUGUAGCCUUCGUAACAAAUUUUAUCUCCACC